AGAAAAAGUCUUUGGAUUUCAUUACGAAAGACAGAACACUGCGAGCUAAAGUGUUGAUACGUAAACCAGGAGACAAGAAGUGUCUUUACACUGCAUUCGCCAAAAGCAUGGACUUGGUUUUAGAUGUGUACGGUCAUAAUGAUCAUCAAAAACCGUAUUGUUCUAGUAACUUCAGCGUACGAAUCAUUGAUCAAAUAUCCAUGAAGUCGGUGGAAUACGUCCACUACAUCAAUAAGGGACGAGAUCGGAAUACUUUUGCUGUGAGCACUGCAGCUUACUGGCAGAGAUCCGGGAGAUCUGGUAAAGACCAGUACUGGGUGUGCACGGGAUUGCCUGAUGAUUCUUCAGGAUAUGGUGGUCUACUGUUGUGUGCUGAUAACUUCUUUGUUUGGCAAAGUUUUGACAACUUUAAAGUUAAAGAACCGGUGUGCUAAGUUUGUUUGGAAGAUGUCAGUAUCUUCGUGGCCCUACUGCUUGUCCUAUCCGGUAAAUUGACGGGGAUAAAUGUGUGGUAUUGUUUUGGACAAUAAGCGCCGGAAAACUUACCCGUGAUAUCCAGUAGAGCAGUGAGCAGUAGGACCACGGGCAAAGUAACGUAUGAGUUUAUAAGUAAAAUAAAAGCUCGAAAUAUU